rnacentral:rRNA from 1 species
AGAAUUCCAGGNGUAGCGGNGAAAUGCGUAGAGAUCUGGAGGAAUAUCGGUGGCGAAGGCGGCCCCCUGGACAAAGACUGACGNUCAGAUGCGAAAGCGUGGGUAGCAAACAGGAUUAGAUACCCUGGUAGUCCACGCCGUAAACGAUGUNUANUUGAAGGUUGGGAUCUUGAAUUCUGGCCUUCGGAGCUAACGCGUUAAGUAGACCGCCUGGGGAGUACGGUCGCAAGAUUAAAACUCAAAUGAAUUGACGGGGGCCCGCACAAGCGGUGGAGCAUGUGGUUUAAUUCGAUGCAACGCGAAGAACCUUACCUACUCUUGACAUCCAGAGAAGCCAGCAGAGAUGCAGGUGUGCCUUCGGGAAYUYUGAGACAGGUGCUGCAUGGCUGUCGUCAGCUCGUGUUGUGAAAUGUUGGGUUAAGUCCCGCAACGAGCGCAACCCUUAUCCUUGUUUGCCAGCACGUAAUGGUGGGAACUCCAGGGAGACUGCCGGUGAUAAACCGGAGGAAGGUGGGGACGACGUCAAGUCAUCAUGGCCCUUACGAGUAGGGCUACACACGUGCUACAAUGGUGCAUACAGAGGGAAGCAAGAGCGCGAGCUGGAGCGGAUCCCAAAAAGUGCAUCGUAGUCCGGAUUGGAGUCUGCAACUCGACUCCAUGAAGUCGGAAUCGCUAGUAAUCGUGGAUCAGAAUGCCACGGUGAAUACGUUCCCGGGCCUUGUACACACCGCCCGUCAUC